ensembl:rRNA 5S_rRNA 5S ribosomal RNA
GCUUGCAGCCAUACCACCCUGUUUGCGUCUGAUCUUGGAAGCUAAGCAGGGUUGGGCCUGCUUAGUACUUGGAUGGGAGACAGCCUGGGAAUACCAGGUGCUGUAAGCU